GAUAAACGCUGGCGGCGUGCAUAACACAUGCAAGUCGAACGAAUUGGCGAACUGGUGAGUAACACGUGAGUGAGCUGCCUUACACAAGGGGAUAGCCGUUGGAAACGCAGAAUAAUACCCUAUAGUGUAAGAUGGACUUGCGUCUGAUUAGCCGGUUGGUCAGAUAAAUGGCCACCAAGGCAACGAUCAGUAGCCGGGUUGAGAGAGUGGUCGGCCACAUUGGGAGUGAGACACGGGCCAAAUACUACGGGAGGGCGCAGUGGGGAAUUUUGCACACUGGGGGAAACAAGGAGGCCGUGAGGUCGUGUGAUAUAGUCGGCGGUGGGGAAGGAAAUAUCUUUUAUAAGGUAUGCGGUACCAGAAGAAUAAGGUCCGGCUAAAUACGUGCCAGCAGCCGCGGUAAUAC
rnacentral:rRNA from 1 species